rnacentral:rRNA from 1 species
CCUACGGGGGGCAGCAGUGGGGAAUAUUGGACAAUGGGGGGAACCCUGAUCCAGCGACGCCGCGUGAGUGAAGAAGUAUUUCGGUAUGUAAAGCUCUAUCAGCAGGGAAGAAAGAAAUGACGGUACCUGACUAAGAAGCCCCGGCUAACUACGUGCCAGCAGCCGCGGUAAUACGUAGGGGGCAAGCGUUAUCCGGAUUUACUGGGUGUAAAGGGGGCGUAGACGGCGAUGCAAGUCUGAAGUGAAAGGCGGGGGCCCAACCUCCGGACUGCUUUUGAAACUGUAUGGCUGGAGUGCAGGAGAGGUAAGUGGAAGUCCUAGUGUAGCGGUGAAAUGCGUAGAUAGUAGGAGGAACACCAGUGGCGAAGGCGGCUUACUGGACUGUAACUGACGUUGAGGCUCGAAAGCGUGGGGAGCAAACAGGAUUAGAUACCCGAGUAGUC